ACUAAAUAUAAUUGAUAUUUAAUUGCUAAACAGAUAGUAUAUACAGCGGUUCAACUGUUCGUUCUGGCAUCAAUAACUCAGCCUUACAGUACUACGAUUUUCAAAGAAAUCUAUCAACAAAAAUCAUGAAGACUAUCUACGGAAUUGGUUUAGUCGUGGUUCUGCUGGCCGUUUUGUCGCUGCAGAUCAUCACGACCAUGAUGGUCACGAUCAUAAAAACGUGAAGCUUCUCGUGAUUUUUACGUUUCAGAAAAUUUCAAACCGAACGGCAAAAAAAAUUUUUAUACGCCCUUUCAGCACAAAUCCCUAUUAACCAUAUAAUCAUAAGGGUCACGAUCAUAAAAACGUGAAGCUUCUCCUGAACGUACCAAAUAUCGCAAAGGUCUCUAAAAGCAAUCAACCCAGUAAGAUCAAAGUGAAAAAUAAUUCACUGUAUAAUAGAUUGAUGUACGAAUUCAAAUGUCUGAUCGAUCUUCAAUAAAAAAAAAAAUAAAUAAA